GUACAGCAUUGUUACGUCAUCACUGAUGAACGUUGAAACUGAUGAGAAACCGCGGGAGCAGUUCAGUCUGAUUCUCGCUAGUCCUGGAGGAGCGUUCAUUUUGGCAAGGAAAUGUGCUGAUUUUGCAAGGACGUGGAGAAGAAAGAGUUCAAGGAGUCAGAGGUCAGUGGGAAUGACCUCACCCUCAUAGACCUGGGUGACCCCAUCAAUGACGGUGAUGUUAUGAAGGAAGACAGAGAGGUUGAGAGACAGACCAAGUUGGAAGAGGCUGUUCUAGAGACAGAUAUCCCAACUCUGUCACUAGAGGCUGAUGGAGAGAUUGAGAUGCAGGAGGCUGAUCUGAAGACAGAUGGCACAUCUCAGUCACAGGAGGUUGAAGGAGAGAUUGAGUUGGACGAUGCUGUUGCCAUCCCAUCUCAGUCACAGGAGGUUGAAGGAGAGAGUGAGUUGGACGAGGCCAUUGUCAUCCCAUCUCAGUCACAGGAGGAGGCCAAAGGAGAGAGUGAGUUGAAUCAGGUUGAUCUGAAGACAUCCACAUCAACUCUGACACUGGAGGUCGAAGGAGCGAGUGAGUUGAAUCAGGUUGAUCUGAAGACAUCCACAUCAACUCUGACACUGGAGGUUGAAGGAGAGAGUGAGUUGAAUCAGGUUGAUCUGAAGACAUCCACAUCAACUCUGACACUGGAGGUUGAAGGAGAGAGUGAGUUGAAUCAGGUUGAUCUGAAGACAUCCACAUCAACUCUGACACUGGAGGUCGAAGGAGAGAGUGUGAUGCAGGAGAGUGAUGAUGUAGAAACAGCCGGGCCAUCUCAAUCCCAGGAGACUCAACGAGUGGCAAAGGCUGCAGUGGUGACCUUCACUACCAUGACCCGCAAGGCUGCAGCCUCCCAGACCAGCCUCACCCUCAGCAGGGGAAAGAGAAGCUACCCAGACCUACACACCUUUGUGCAGGACAUGAAGGAUGGCCAUUGGAAUCUGCUGAGUGAGAAUAUGCGUGCCAGGAUGAGCAGAGAUGAGUUUAGUGCUAGGUGCAUGGAUAUUACAAAUUGGGUAAUGGAGUCUACAUCCACUGUGGUCGUUCCCGCCCUUGACCUCACCAUGCAGAUCAGGCUCUCUGAUUCGUCAAGCUCUUCUGGAUCAGGAAGUAAUGUGGCUAGAGAAGUGACCUCUCUUGGCCGCAGCGUCAGAUUCAGCUUUCGUGGUGGACCCAGUAGACGCACCAGUUCAAGAACUACUUGCAGCACACAAACUCCCACGCCUUUCCCCUCCUCUCACAGUUCCAUGACCUCUUUGCUGAGUGAUGACGAAGAGCGAUAUGUCUCCUCACCUGAGGGUGGUGAUAGAGAGAUGAGACACAGACCCCACUCGGCACCACUGAGUUCUGUGUUUGGAAUCUCUGAGGAUUCUGUCUUCAACAUGGUCCAGAGAGGCCAGUCGCAGAGUGAGAUCGUACUGUCGUCCAGUUGGAGUAGACGGGAGAAAUACAGACCUGUCAAAAUACCAACGGACACCAGGUUUAUGAUGGGUAUUGUAGAGUUGGUAAUGAACCUUCUCAAUUCCAGAUUGGCUGAGCUAAUGCGAAGUUUCAGUCAGGGAACUCUAGGUCCGCUGUCUGGUAGUAUCUCAGCAAGUCAGCAGUUUGCCCAAGAAAUGCUAAGCAUGGUGUCUGCUAAGAUGUAUUCCCAUGCCAUAGAGCAUAUUGCGCACGGCCACAAGUCUCCCCUUGAGUUAGAGAGGGAGCUUGAGGCCAUAUUGGGUCCUCUGGCUGGAAAGGUUAUAGUCAUCAUCAUAGAUAGCAUCUUUAAGGCUAAAGCCAACGGAGGAAACGAGGGACGAGCGACCAGCCCCUUGACCUAUUUUCUUACUGCCAUUUCAGCAGAAAUACAAAGCCUAGUUGUUCAGAGAUCGGCUAGCAGACCGUCCACCAGACUGUCCAACAACGACCCACUGCUGAACAUUUCCAAGUCAAAGGUCUUAAGAUCAGUUCUGCUCAAAAUGGCAGAACUCUUUGGCCAAGGUCCAAGUGAAACCUGUCUAGUUCCACUAGUCCAGAGUCAGUCCGACAACUCUGUUUGCGACUGGACUCUGAAUGCAGGCACCCUUCAUCCAAGUCAAUUUCUGUCCCACAACAGAAUGACAGAAGUGUCAUCCGAUGUUGUGGAUCUUGUACUUGAGGUUUUUGGGAUAACAGGAUUUUUGGAUAGCAGGAGCCCGUCAAGGCCACAGAGUGCCUGCUCCUACAACUCAGCUAGUGGAGCAAUAGAUAUGAGAGCUCUUGCUGGGGACUUGGUCAGACAGGUGUCUGUCAAACUCAGACCCUUUGUCUCUGAGAGUCAACUCUCCACCAUGUCCAUGACAGAUCUGUCAUCAUCUAUUUCUGACUCCACCUUGAAGCAGUUGUGUUGUAGCUCUGCUGUUGCUGCAGCAACUGUCUGUCAAGCAAUCAAAAUGGAGCUCGAGAACCAGAGACCUACAAACCUGUCAGCCAGAGACCUACUAUCGUCUCUGGUAGAGAGCAUUGAAGACAUGGAUAUUUCUGACAUCCUCCAGGGCCCGUCGGCCAUUUUGGAGGAGGCUGCUAUGAUUAAGCACCCAGAGAUGUCCACCUCGACAAUAUACAGGUCUCUGCUUCUCGACUCAUCUCUCGCCUCCUCUAACAUGGUCACUGAGAGCAUUAUCUUCAACAGCCCACGCCCAUCAGAGGAGAAUGUGAAUAUUCAGAAUGUGCUCCCUGUUGAUAAAGUUGACAUCCUCCAUGGUCAACCAGUGGAGGGGUAUAUUGUCAAAGCUGAGCAAUGCAUCACUCAGGUCAUUCAGGAUGCAGCUGUGACAUAUACUGGCGUGCUGGAUAAAACCGACACUUGUGGGAAAUUGUCGGAAGUUCUGUCUGUCUGCGUUUCCGCGGAGAAUAUUGAGGAUGCAUCCUCUGAUCUAUUUGGUGGAAUUAUUUCCGACCUGCAUGAGGUAUCUGAGGUCAAUAAGACCUCCAUGCGUACGAAAUCAGGUCGCAAAAUGUUCUGGAUGGAAGUGAGUUCAGGUUCCCAGAAGAUUUAUACCAAAACCCUGGAUAAACUGAGGAAGCUUUUCACCUCUCACCUUCUCACUGAGGGAAAAAAUACUCCUGUGCAAAUUGAGUUCUAUGACACUGGACUACUUGUAACUGAGACCACUGUGGAGGUAUCUCCUGUACAGAAGACAGACAGUAAUACCUCUUCAAUGUCCUCAGCCCACCAGCUCACCCUCGACACCUGCACUAAAGGGGUCAUCAAACAGGUGAUCUCGGUGCUGAGGGUGGAGACUUCAAAGGAAGUCAAAUGCGAGAGCAUGUCAAAUGCAUCCUUCGACUUCAACCAGAAGUUGGACUCUAUAAUUUCAAAAUUGGAGAGCCUCACCAUUUCGAGUGACGUGACGUCAGCCAAGAUUGCCACGAUCACGCGAUCUCGUAGUGUAGCCAGCAGAACCUCUAACAUUUCCAUCCAGAGCUUUCACAGUGCUGAGUUCCGAGCUACGGCCAAACAGAUUGUGCGUGAGGCCAUUCUCAGAGCUGCUAGCGAAGCCAACUGUUCUUUGCCACAGAGCAUGCCUAGCAGCACCUUCUCACACCAUGUGGUUUCUACAACUGAAGAUAUAGUGAAUAUGAUCAUGCAAGACCUUGAAAAUCUAUCCCAGUACACAGUGGAGGACGCAGACUCCUUCCCACUAGGAGAGAAAAAGCUGCAGUCCCAGCUCAAUCCCAGAGUUGUCUUUGACACCUUAUUGGAUGCUGCUCAAACCAUGUACCACAGAGUAAAGGAUAGACUGAACGUCUUUUUGUCUUUUCCACCCGUGUCAGUCACCACAGCCAAAGAUGUGCUGGACUCCACCCCUGUGGAGACACUCAGAUGCUCAAAGUCCCCUGACACUGCUCUUGUUAAGGACAGGAGCCGCCCUCCGUCUCUGAGAAGUGAGAAGCCAUUUUCAAAAGUCAGUUUGACUAAAAGGUCUAAAGCCCUUGUGUCUUCGAGUGGCUCCUCCACAGACCACCAUGUAAUUGACACAUGCAGUGAGGAUGUCACUCUGCCCCCCAGGAGUAUGUCAGUUGUGAGCGACACCAGUUUGAAGAGAACCUCUCCUCUCCAUGGUAGUGGAUUGAGUGCAAGUUGUGAACCUCUUGUGGCUCUACAAGACGGAACAGUGGCAGUCAGCCAAGAAGGCUUUAGCAAAACUGCAAAGAAGACGCUCAGCUUGAUCCUAAAUGUGAUCAAGUGCAGAUUGGCCAACUCUGAGAGUUCAUCUGUUGGGCAGAAUGCAAGGGAGGAGUGUCUGAUAGCCACUAACAUGUUAGACUCUCUACUAGAGAGCCUUGACCUGUUGCCUGACAUGAGUGCUGCCAAUGAGAUCACAAGGACAGAAUGCCAUACUUCUAACGCAAUGGACAAGACAGGUUCACAGUCAGCGCUUGUGAAUCAACAAGAAAUAGACAUAUCUGACACCAGUAUCAUAGUGAAAACUAUAAUGGAUACAUUGAAGACAGACGACCCAGAGAUGACUACAGCAGAAGAAAAUCUGGAUAGGCUCCUGUCAAUUGAAGCCCUUCAAGAUGCGUCUGGCAACCUGAUCGCAAAGGUCCAUGGUCUCAUUCAGGAGAUAACCAUAAGCCGCCAGCUUCAAUCCACGACUGGCCACAGAAGCCUCUCUCAACCAGCGCUGCCAAAGCCAGCACUGAGGAAGCUGUCAAAGGACGAUGCGUCAGAGCUCGUUUACAGCUUUGCCCAGACUUCUGUUAGCAGACUCCUGGGACAGUGUUUGGGUAGGCCUAUGCCACCCACCGCUGACAGGGUUUUGGAUCAGGUCAUCAACUUGAUGACAGACAUGGUGAUGGACAGCCUGACUGAUCUGUCCAAGUCUGCAAUGGAGGAUGGUAAGUGAAAGUACCUCUUCAUCUGCAUAGGACUUCAUUGUAACAUGAUGCUCACUACAUUGCGUUUUAUGAUGUAAACUUCACUGGUUGUGUCCAAAAUGGCACCUUCUUCCAUAUUUAGUGCACUACUUUUGACCAGAGCCAGACCCUAUGGGCCCUGUUCAAAAGUUGUGCACUAUAAAGGGAAGAGAAUGCCUUUUGGGACACUGACUGAUUUCCAUUGUUGCGUCCUCUUCUCCCAGUUAUUGUACCGAGGUCGGUCACACCAGCUUGCUCUUCUUACUUAGACACCAGCGAUGCCGCAAGUGACAUCACUCAUGGUGUUGUGGCUGACCUUAAUGCUACUGAGGAAUUCCCUGCCAGGGGCCUUAGCCCGGCUAAUGUAAAGGCUGACGGCAUGGCCCACCUUCCCUCUGCCAGGGGGGAAGAGACUAAGAAGAACAGGAAGUGGCAUUUCCUACACAAAAUUGUCAAGAUUCCAAAGAUCAGGAUUAAGGUAGAGGGCUCAGUGUCUUUAGAUUACCUCUGUAAGGCAGGGCUGAAAUGUACCCUACAGAUUCACUAAACCCCUAUUGUCUCUUCAUUAGAACAAUGCUGUUGUCAUUGUCUUUAGGAGGUUGAGUGAGGCCGCUGUAAUACAAUCCUAAUACACAUGGGAGAGAGAGUCAAUGCAUGUGUUCCAAAUUGCAUCCUAUUCCCUAUAUAGUGCACUACUUUUGACCACAGCUCUAUAGGCCCUUGUCAAAAGUUGUGCCUUACGUAGCCAAUAGGGUGCCUUUUGGGAUGCAUGCCAUAUGUUUUACACAGGCUCAGUUGUCCUGAUGUGUUUUGUCAACAGCUAUUCAAGACAAAAGGGGAACCGAAGAGCCACCCUGAACAGGAUUCUCUGCCUACCAAACGUCUCAGAGAGACUCGUAUUUCACAGGAUGCUGAGUGUGAGGUUCCAUCCACUUCCCCACCCAAGGAGGCCCUGACAACCACACUGGCC